UAUAGAUUCAAUGAUUGGACAAGACUUCUGCCACCAUGCACGCCUCAUCUCGAAGUGCCUUGUCAAGCCCCGGGAACGAUAUUUCAUGCCCACAGGAAAUCAUGAAUCUUUAAGAUAGCAUUCUUGGAUCUCUCCACGUCACAAAUCAACAGGCCAGUUUCCUGGGGUAAUCAACUUUCUAUUGAAUGGUAGUCAGCAAACACAAUGGAGCAAUCUGGACUGUUCAACUGUUCUCUCAAAAAUUUCCAAACUGACCACGGCAUAUAUUACACAAUUAGUGGAGUUCAACAUGUCAUCUAAAAAACUUGAAAAGGAAUACAAAUAUUUUCAUGAAAAUUAUCUUUUCGGCUGCAAAGAGACGUCAGGGUGACAUUCACAGGUGGACAGACGU